rnacentral:lncRNA from 1 species
GACAAAUAGGUAAUAAAUUAGGAAUAGAGAAUAAUGAUGUGUAUAGGAUAGUGAAAAAAAAUAGAAAUAGAAAAAGAAAAUGAGAAAUAAAAUUAAACAUAAAGAAAUGGAGAACCUCCAUCCCGACCCUCAUAAACUGACUGACGGAAACUUUGGCAGACUUUAAACUAUCUGCUACAAGUGACUGUCAGCUUGUGUAUAGAACCAAC